GCACGCAUGCAAGCCUUGCAUGCAGCCCCCAAGCCCCUCUCCACGUCUCUCCCUCCCCACGUCUCCUCUUUCCUUUUUUUCUUCUCUCCCUCCCCACGUCUCCUCCUUCCUAUUUUCUCUCCCUUUUCCUUAUUUCUCUCUUCCUUCUUUCUCCUCCCUCUCUUUCCUAUUUUUCUCUCCCAUGAUCUCCUUCCCAAAGUUCUCC
rnacentral:lncRNA from 1 species